CAAGCAAACACAAUUUUCUCUUCCAUGGAUGUGUUUUCUUUCAUUUAGCAUUGUAAAUACCCAGAGCCUGCUUAUGAGUCUUAUUUUUCUGUUUACAGUGGAACAGUUAAGCUCACCAUGACUUACACAAAAUUAAUUGAUGCAACCAUUAACAUUGGAAAUAUUACAGAUAUUGAUUUCAUUUGGAACAAACACUUGUGGACAUUCUCACAAUAAGUUGGGAGCAGAAUGGUGGUAGAUAUAGCUGGAAAAUAUGAAUAUAAGUUGGAGGUAUCAGGUAGCUGUCACAUUGUCGGGAGAGAAGGUUACAGGACAUGUCCUGGUUUCUUUGUAUGGAAAUUGG
rnacentral:lncRNA from 1 species